rnacentral:rRNA from 1 species
GACGAACGCUUGCGGCGUGCUUAACACAUGCAAGUCGAACGGAAAGGCCCUGCUUUUGUGGGGUGCUCGAGUGGCGAACGGGUGAGUAACACGUGAGUAACCUGCCCUUGACUUUGGGAUAACUUCAGGAAACUGGGGCUAAUACCGGAUAGGAGCUCCUGCUGCAUGGUGGGGGUUGGAAAGUUUCGGCGGUUGGGGAUGGACUCGCGGCUUAUCAGCUUGUUGGUGGGGUAGUGGCUUACCAAGGCUUUGACGGGUAGCCGGCCUGAGAGGGUGACCGGCCACAUUGGGACUGAGAUACGGCCCAGACUCCUACGGGAGGCAGCAGUGGGGAAUAUUGCACAAUGGGCGGAAGCCUGAUGCAGCAACGCCGCGUGCGGGAUGACGGCCUUCGGGUUGUAAACCGCUUUCGCCUGUGACGAAGCGUGAGUGACGGUAAUGGGUAAAGAAGCACCGGCUAACUACGUGCCAGCAGCCGCGGUGAUACGUAGGGUGCGAGCGUUGUCCGGAUUUAUUGGGCGUAAAGGGCUCGUAGGUGGUUGAUCGCGUCGGAAGUGUAAUCUUGGGGCUUAACCCUGAGCGUGCUUUCGAUACGGGUUGACUUGAGGAAGGUAGGGGAGAAUGGAAUUCCUGGUGGAGCGGUGGAAUGCGCAGAUAUCAGGAGGAACACCAGUGGCGAAGGCGGUUCUUUGGGCCUUUCCUGACGCUGAGGAGCGAAAGCGUGGGGAGCGAACAGGCUUAGAUACCCUGGUAGUCCACGCUGUAAACGGUGGGUACUAGGUGUGGGGUCCAUUCCACGGGUUCCGUGCCGUAGCUAACGCUUUAAGUACCCCGCCUGGGGAGUACGGCCGCAAGGCUAAAACUCAAAGGAAUUGACGGGGCCCCGCACAAGCGGCGGAGCAUGCGGAUUAAUUCGAUGCAACGCGUAGAACCUUACCUGGGUUUGACAUGGAUCGGGAGUGCUCAGAGAUGGGUGUGCCUCUUUUGGGGUCGGUUCACAGGUGGUGCAUGCCUGUCGUCAGCUCGUGUCGUGAGAUGUUGGGUUAAGUCCCGCAACGAGCGCAACCCUUGUUCACUGUUGCCAGCACGUUAUGGUGGGGACUCAGUGGAGACCGCCGGGGUCAACUCGGAGGAAGGUGGGGAUGACGUCAAGUCAUCAUGCCCCUUAUGUCCAGGGCUUCACGCAUGCUACAAUGGCUGGUACAGAGAGUGGCGAGCCUGUGAGGGUGAGCGAAUCUCGGAAAGCCGGUCUCAGUUCGGAUUGGGGUCUGCAACUCGACCUCAUGAAGUCGGAGUCGCUAGUAAUCGCAAAUCAGCAACGCUGCGGUGAAUACGUUCCCGGG